rnacentral:tRNA from 47 species
GGGGGUGUAGCUCAGUUGGUUAGAGCGCCGGCCUGUCACGCCGGAGGCCGCGGGUUCGAGUCCCGUCACUCCCGCCA